CGUUGAACGGGCCCUCGCACCCGGUGCCCGUCGGGGGAGCGGCGACCGCGGGACCCCGGCAACCGCGGGGUCAACGCAGGUCGCAGGGCACACGCUGGCGUAACAGUUCACACUUCCCAGAUGUAAAAAUUUUAAAUAAAAGCUUUUGUGCUAAUUAUUUUCUGUGAUAAUAUUUUUCAGAGCUCAUCAUCUGUGACAGCUCUUGGCUCUCCUGACUGUAACCUCUCUGUGGCAGCUUCUCACAGACUCAAUCAACUCCUCUUCCCCUCCCCCCUCAAACACAAACACAAACACACCCACACACACACACAAACACACAGAGAAAUACCCCCUCCCAAAAGGAGAUAAAACUCAGUUUUAACUUGAGUUUACAAGCUUUGAGCUUUGAGCAAAAGCAUUUUUUUAAGUUCUGUUAUUGGGUGCAUAUAUAAAUCAUUUAUGCUUAAACAAGGCUUAUAAUGAAGUUAUUUGAACAGUGAAUAUCUCAUCUGCCUAAAGUCAGGGCGAAGCCACUAACCAGCUGUAGGGAUGGGUAUCAUUAGGAUUUUAUCUUUAUCCAUACAGACCCCUAUCAGUCCAGCUCAGACUGUUACUGGUUUAAGAGAGUGAAGUUUAUAGCAAUUUGCAAAAUUUUGAGAUUAGUGACAAACUAACCAGUUAGACUAUAUACAGACAAGCUUUCAUUUUAGCUGUUAGUAACGGUUUGCCAUGAGCUUAAUCAGCGUGCUGUGCUUCAUGUUAAACAUGUCAUGAGACUGUGGACAACGCUGAAAAUAUUACUUUACUAACUACUGGCCAAACAGGUGCUUUGACAAAGAAAAGGUAAAGGCCAGCAGCUUUUACUUUUCAAUGCACUUGUCGUCAACUUGAGUGGCUUAUAUUCAGCUGGUUAACCUCGACGCCGGUGGACCUAGUGCACUUUUCCUGUCGCCGUACACUGAGUAACACGAAAAAAUCAGCUGACCCUUUGUGAAAUUUCCUAACUGAUCAAAACCAAACUGUAAAGACAGCAUCAAUCCACGCUCAGCUUUGUUCAAGGGGAGACAUAUGGGAGAAGAUGAGUAGAGAGAUAGAAAGAAACAGAAAGGGUGAUGGAGAAAGAUUACAUCAAUUCAAAAUAACCUAGAAUUCCUUAAAAUUAAUUUGAAGCCAGUUUAAUUUUUUGAGCCAGCUUUGACAUCUACAGAUAUGAGUUUCUGAAGAGGGGCCUGCUGAGGUUAGAUGUGCUGAAUAAUAUCCAUUUUCAUAUCAGAAAAAACACUGCAUUAAACAUUGUCUUAGCUCACUGAGCUGAGGUCAACAGGUAAUAUAACCAACCUGUGAGGUGGCUCACCCCCGUAAGAUAAACACAUAAAUGAUCCCUGAUAGAACCGAUAAUUAAAGGCACAUCAGUGACAGGGAAUGCUAUUAAAACUAAACUAUAAACUGGUGACAUUAACUGCAAAAGAAGAUUUUUAUUGAUACAUUUCAGGUAGAAUUUAGUUUUCAAUAAGGGAAACAGUGUAAGAAACCUGAAUUUGUUGCAACAAAUUUAAAAUAAAAGCUUUUAUGCUAAUUAUUUUCUGUGAUAAUAUUUUUCAGAGCUCAUCAUCUGUGACAGCUCAUGGCUCUCUUGACUGUAACCUCUCUGUGGCAGCUUCUCACAGACUCAAUCAACUCCUCUUCCCCUCCCCCCUCAAACACACACACACAGACACACACACACACAGAGACCCCCUUCCAAAAACCCAUCAAAGAGUAAUACAAUGGCUCCAUCUGUAGGAUAAAGUAGAGAGUCGCAACAGGAAGUUACCCCAAAAUCUGAGGUUUCAAACAGGAAGUUGGGUUUCCGAACUUUGACGGGCCAGAACCGGCACACGCUUCGACCCAAACUCACAAUUUUCGGAGCCAGUCUUCCAAAAAUUGUCAAGGAGGGGCUGACAACAUUUGAAGUGAAUCUGGUCACCCGUCUAGAAACUGGACAUCACACUAUAAAAUAUGUCAUUUCCUGCUAUAAAUAGGUGGCGCUACAACAAUUGUAUGAAUAUUGACAUAUGGAUGUGUGCAGAUAGGUACCAUUAACAAUCCUGUAAAGUUUGAUGCAGUUUGGACAAAGUAUGGCCGAAAUAUAGCAAAAAUAAAGCAACUUCCUGUUUCGUGGCGAGUAAUCGAACUUUGAGGGGCCAUAACUUCCACGCCCUUCAACAAAAACUCAAAAUCUGCCGCAAUUUAACAUCGUCUAUGUCUUAAGAACAUACUAUUAAGUUUUGAAGUCAAUGGGAUAAUGCGUCUAGGACUAGUUCGCGUUCAAGCGACCCCUGGAAAUGGCCAAAAACACACAAUUUUUUCACCUUCCGGUCAAAAUAAAAAUACUUUCUGUUGGGUUUAGAAUAUGGCUCCAAGAGACUUUUUGGUGCGUCAUGGGAUGUUACAUAUGUGUGCAGAUUUUCAGAUUUUUAGGCGCAACGGGCUUGAGGGGCUGUUCCGUUUAAAAAUGUAGGUGGCGCUACCGAGGGCAUUUUACCACGCCCAUGCUCAAGACCCCUAAAUUAUUAAAUUUUUCGCCGUGCCUGACGCGUCUGCAAAUUUUGGUAAGUUUUCACACAUGUUAAGGCCCUCAAAAAGCCGAUCUAAGAGGCGGAAAAAGAAGAAAAAAAAUAAUAAUAAUAAUAAUAAUAAUAAUAAUAAUAAUAAUAAACAGACCGAAAACAAGAGGGUCCUUGCAACUCGUUGCAUGGCCCCGUUGGGCCCACGCAACUCGUUGCUCGGGCCCUAAUUAAAGCUGCGAGCAGCGUUGAACGGGCCCUCGCACCCGGCGCCCGUCGGGGGAGCGGCGACCGCGGGACCCCGGCAACCGCGGGGUCAACGCAGGUCGCAGGGCACACGCUGGCGUAACAGUUCACACUUCCCAGAUGUAAAAAUUUUAAAUAAAAGCUUUUAUGCUAAUUAUUUUCUGUGAUAAUAUUUUUCAGAGCUCAUCAUCUGUGACAGCUCUUGGCUCUCCUGACUGUAACCUCUCUGUGGCAGCUUCUCACAGACUCAAUCAACUCCUCUUCCCCUCCCCCCUCAAACACAAACACAAACACAAACACACACACACACACAGAUACCCCCUCCCAAAAGGAGAUAAAACUCAGUUUUAACUUGAGUUUACAAGCUUUGAGCUUUGAGCAAAAGCAUUUUUUUGCAAGUUCUGUUAUUGGGUGCAUAUAUAAAUCAUUUAUGCUUAAACAAGGGUUAUAAUGAAGUUAUUUGAACAGUGAAUAUCUCAUCUGCCUAAAGUCAGGGCGAAGCCACUAACCAGCUGUAGGGAUGGGUAUCAUUAGGAUUUUAUCUUUAUCCAUACAGACCCCUAUCAGUCCAGCUCAGACUGUUACUGGUUUAAGAGAGUGAAGUUUAUAGCAAUUUGCAAAAUUUGGAGAUUAGUGACAAACUAACCAGUUAGACUACAUACAGACAAGCUUUCAUUUUAGCUGUUAGUAACAGUUUGCCAUGAGCUUAACCAGCGUGCUGUGCUUCGUGUUAAACAUGUCAUGAGACUGUGGACAACGUUUGAGCCAGCUUUGACAUCUGCAGAUAUGAGUUUCUGAAGAGGGGCCUGCUGAGGUUAGAUGUGCUGAAUAAUAUCCAUUUUCAUAUCAGAAAAAACACUGCAUUAAACAUUGUCUUAGCUCACUGAGCUGAGGUCAACAGGUAAUAUAACCAACCUGUGAGGUGGCUCACCCCCGUAAGAUAAACACAUAAAUGAUCCCUGAUAGAACCGAUAAUUAAAGGCACAUCAGUGACAGGGAAUGCUAUUAAAACUAAACUAUAAACUGGUGACAUUAACUGCAAAAGAAGAUUUUUAUUGAUACAUUUCAGGUAGAAUUUAGUUUUCAAUAAGGAAAAUGCUGUAAGAAACCUGAAUUUGUUGCAACAAAUUUAAAAUAAAAGCUUUUAUGCUAAUUAUUUUCUGUGAUAAUAUUUUUCAGAGCUCAUCAUCUGUGACAGCUCUUGGCUCUCCUGACUGUAACCUCCCUGUGGCAGCUUCUCACAGACUCAAUCAACUCCUCUUCCCCUCCCCCCUCAAACACACACACACAGACACACACACACAGAGACCCCCUUCCAAAAACCCAUCAAAGAGUAAUACAAUGGCUCCAUCUGUAGGAUAAAGUAGAGAGUCGCAACAGGAAGUUACCCCAAAAUCUGAGGUUUCAAACAGGAAGUUGGGUUUCCGAACUUUGACGGGCCAGAACCGGCACACGCUUCGACCCAAACUCACAAUUUUCGGAGGACUUCUUCCAAAAAUUGUCAAGGAGGGGCUGACAACAUUUGAAGUGAAUCUGGUCACCCGUCUAGAAACUGGACAUCACACUAUAAAAUAUGUCAUUUCCUGCUAUAAAUAGGUGGUGCUACAACAAUUGUAUGAAUAUUGACAUAUGGAUGUGUGCAGAUAGGUACCAUUAACAAUCCUGUAAAGUUUGAUGCAGUUUGGACAAAGUAUGGCCGAAAUAUAGCAAAAAUAAAGCAACUUCCUGUUUCGUGGCGAGUAAUCGAACUUUGAGGGGCCAUAACUUCCACGCCCUUCAACAAAAACUCAAAAUCUGCCGCAAUUUAACAUCGUCUAUGUCUUAAGAACAUACUAUUAAGUUUUGAAGUCAAUGGGAUAAUGCGUCUAGGACUAGUUCGCGUUCAAGCGACCCCUGGAAAUGGCCAAAAACACACAAUUUUUUCACCUUCCGGUCAAAAUAAAAAUACUUUCUGUUGGGUUUAGAAUAUGGCUCCAAGAGACUUUUUGGUGCGUCAUGGGAUGUUACAUAUGUGUGCAGAUUUUCAGAUUUUUAGGCGCAACGGGCUUGAGGGGCUGUUCCGUUUAAAAAUGUAGGUGGCGCUACCGAGGGCAUUUUACCACGCCCAUGCUCAAGACCCCUAAAUUAUUAAAUUUUUCGCCGUGCCUGACGCGUCUGCAAAUUUUGGUAAGUUUUCACGCAUGUUAAGGCCCUCAAAAAGCCGAUCUAAGAGGCGGAAAAAGAAGAAAAAAAAUAAUAAUAAUAAUAAUAAUAAUAAUAAUAAUAAUAAUAAACAGACCGAAAACAAGAGGGUCCUUGCAACUCGUUGCAUGGCCCCGUUGGGCCCACGCAACUCGUUGCUCGGGCCCUAAUAAUAAUAAACAGACCGAAAACAAGAGGGUCCUUGCAACUCGUUGCAUGGCCCCGUUGGGCCCACGCAACUCGUUGCUCGGGCCCUAAUAAUAAUAAACCGAACGAAAACAAGAGGGUCCUUGCAACUCGUUGCAUGGCCCCGUUGGGCCCACGCAACUCGUUGCUCGGGCCCUAAUUAAAGCUGCGAGCAGCGUUGAACGGGCCCUCGCACCCGGCGCCCGUCGGGGGAGCGGCGACCGCGGGACCCCGGCAACCGCGGGGUCAACGCAGGUCGCAGGGCACACGCUGGCGUAACAGUUCACACUUCCGAGAUGUAAAAAUUUCAAAUAAAAGCUUUUAUGCUAAUUAUUUUCUGUGAUAAUAUUUUUCAGAGCUCAUCAUCUGUGACAGCUCUUGGCUCUCCUGACUGUAACCUCUCUGUGGCAGCUUCUCACAGACUCAAUCAACUCCUCUUCCCCUCCCCCCUCAGACACACACAGACACACACACACAGAGACCCCCUUCCAAAAACCCAUCAAAGAGUAAUACAAUGGCUCCAUCUGUAGGAUAAAGUAGAGAGUCGCAACAGGAAGUUACCCCAAAAUCUGAGGUUUCAAACAGGAAGUUGGGUUUCCGAACUUUGACGGGCCAGAACCGGCACACGCUUCGACCAAAACUCACAAUUUUCGGAGCCAGUCUUCCAAAAAUCCUUAAGUCUGUCCUGACAACAUUUGAAGUGAAUCUGGUCACCCGUCUAGAAACUGGACAUCACACUAUAAAAUAUGUCAUUUCCUGCUAUAAAUAGGUGGUGCUACAACAAUUGUAUGAAUAUUGACAUAUGGAUGUGUGCAGAUAGGUACCAUUAACAAUCCUGUAAAGUUUGAUGCAGUUUGGACAAAGUAUGGCCGAAAUAUAGCAAAUUUAAAGCAACUUCCUGUUUUGUGGCGAGUGAUCGAACUUUGAGGGGCCAUAACUUCCACGCCCUUCAAUGAAAAGUCCGAAACUUUUGCAAUUUAACUUCGUCUAUGUCUUAAGAACAAAUUAUCAAAUUUUGAAGUCAAUCGGAUAAUGCGUCUAGGACUAGUUCGCGUUCAAGCGACCCCUGGAAAUGGCCAAAAACACACAAUUUUUUCACCUUCCGGUCAAAAUAAAAAUACUUUCUGUUGGGUUUAGAAUAUGGCUCCAAGAGACUUUUUGGUGCGUCAUGGGAUGUUACAUAUGUGUGCAGAUUUUCAGAUUUUUAGGCGCAACGGGCUUGAGGGGCUGUUCCGUUAAAAAUGUAGGUGGCGCUACCGAGGCCAUUUUGCCACACCCAUGCUCAAGACCCCUAAAUUCUUAAAUUUUUCGCCGUGCCUGACGCGUCUGCAAAUUUUCAGGAGUUUUGACGCGUUUUAAGGCCCUCAAAAAGGCGAUCAAAGAGGCGGAAAAAGAAGAAAAAAAAUAAUAAUAAUAAUAAUAAUAAUAAUAAACCGAACGAAAACAAGAGGGUCCUUGCAACUCGUUGCAUGGCCCCGUUGGGCCCACGCAACUCGUUGCUCGGGCCCUAAUAAUAAUAAUAAUAAACAGACCGAAAACAAGAGGGUCCUUGCAACUCGUUGCAUGGCCCCGUUGGGCCCACGCAACUCGUUGCUCGGGCCCUAAUAAUAAUAAUAAUAAUAAUAAACAGACCGAAAACAAGAGGGUCCUUGCAACUCGUUGCAUGGCCCCGUUGGGCCCACGCAACUCGUUGCUCGGGCCCUAAUAAUAAUAAUAAUAAACAGACCGAAAACAAGAGGGUCCUUGCAACUCGUUGCAUGGCCCCGUUGGGCCCACGCAACUCGUUGCUCGGGCCCUAAUAAUAAUAAACCGAACGAAAACAAGAGGGUCCUUGCAACUCGUUGCAUGGCCCCGUUGGGCCCACGCAACUCGUUGCUCGGGCCCUAAUAAUGGCUGGGAAGUUUGUACCACUUCUGUUAUACAUUUUCAAACUUUUGUACACAUAGGUUAAAUAAAGUGCUGUACUGUUUA